CACACCCCACACAUUUAAGCCGGCCGUUUCAUGUCUUAAAAUGAAGAGGUGUGCUCGUUGUGGGAACAU